rnacentral:rRNA from 1 species
GAUGAACGCUGGCGGCGUGCUUAACACAUGCAAGUCGAACGAUGAAGCCCAGCUUGCUGGGUGGAUUAGUGGCGAACGGGCGAGUAACACGUGAGUAACCUGCCCUUGACUCUGGGAUAAGCCUGGGAAACUGGGUCUAAUACUGGAUAUGACUUCUCAUCGCAUGGUGGGGGGUGGAAAGAUUUAUUGGUCUUGGAUGGACUCGCGGCCUAUCAGCUUGUUGGUGAGGUAAUGGCUCACCAAGGCGACGACGGGUAGCCGGCCUGAGAGGGUGACCGGCCACACUGGGACUGAGACACGGCCCAGACUCCUACGGGAGGCAGCAGUGGGGAAUAUUGCACAAUGGGCGCAAGCCUGAUGCAGCGACGCCGCGUGAGGGAUGACGGCCUUCGGGUUGUAAACCUCUUUCAGUAGGGAAGAAGCGAGAGUGACGGUACCUGCAGAAGAAGCGCCGGCUAACUACGUG